CCCCCGGUGGCCGCUCGCCGCCUCGCCUUUAUAAGCGGCCGGGCGGGCGGAGCUCAGCUCAUCGCACUCAAGCUCACCCUGCAACUUGCUCGCUCUCGUCUCGGCUCUGAUAUUUUCUGCCCUGCCCUCUCGCUGCCCGGCGUCAGCCUUCCUUGGUCGGGAGACGAAGGAGAGAGAUAAAGGAGAAGAUGUCGGACGGCACGGCGACCUGCAUCGACAUCAUCCUCGCCAUCAUCCUGCCGCCGCUCGGGGUCUUCUUCAAGUUCGGCUGCGGGGUUGAGUUCUGGAUCUGCCUCGUCCUCACCUUCUUCGGCUACCUCCCCGGCAUCAUCUACGCCGUCUGGGCCAUCACCAAGUAGAGGGGCCUCUUCGAGGUGAUGAUGGGGCCGGGCCUCGUGCGUGUGGUGUCCUCGUCGUGCCUGGUGUGAUCUGCAGUCGUUUGAGAUGUAAUUUCUUCUAGUUUCUCUUCCCUUUGGCUGGAUGGUGCGCACCGUGUUCGUCCCUCUCCGCGGGAUACGGGCUGCACCUCCUCCGAUCCAUUGUAUCGCCCAGUUCCUCUGCACAUUUCCGUCCCUGUACUUCGAUUGAUUAAUUAAUUCGUCCGUUCUUUAGUGGAAAUUAAUUCUCUGCUUGUUUGGCU